AACCGGGUUUAUUUUUCUGCCCGUUAGGGCACCCACGCUUCGCCUUCGCCUCCCACCCACGCAGCGCCUCCCUCUCCCUCCUGCCGCAGGCCCGCAGCUGUUCCGAGUUGCUGGGCGUCGUCUCUUUCGCCCUCUCACUCUCCUGCUCCCUCAUCCUCUCUCUCGCCCUCUCACUCUCCUGCUCCCUCAUCCUCUCUCUCGCCCUCUCACUCUCAUGAUCCCCUCUGCGUCUCUCUCACCCUCUGAGUCUCCUUCUCCCCUCGUCGUCUCUCUCACCAUCUGAGUCUCCUUCUCCCCUCGUGGCCCCUCUCGCACUCUCACUCUCCUGCUACCCUCCUCGUCUCUCUCGCCAGAACGACCCCAUCUUGCUCGCCGCCAUAGAUCAGAUCUGUGCAUCUCCGCCUCUCCACCAUAGAUCUAUGAAGGCGGAGGAGUGACGCUGGAAGAGUGAAGGCUUUUUGUGCAGGCCUGUGAGGGAAUGAGAGGCGGUCCACUUCGCUGGUCGAGUCGUCAUCUGUCACUUUCUGCUAUCAGGAUGCAAUUCAGGUUUGUGUCUUGACAGCUUCAAGCUCUUCAUUUACAUCUUCAGCAUUUUCUGGUAGUACAUCAUAGAAAUCAUGAGGAAUUUUUGUCAGAGCUUCGCUUGACGAGUUACCUUAAGAAAUCACUCCUUUCAAUCUGAUCUUGAAGGGUAUUCUAUGAAGGACAACUUUCCAUUCUGAUUCAUUAGGAUCCACAACAUAAAAUACUUGUUCCACUGACUUGGAGAGACAAAUGGUUCAUCGGCCAUGCAAAAAUAUUUGGAGUUUAACAAAGUAAAACCAAAUUGGUCUACUUUAAUGUCUUUUUCAUGCGGGCUAAGAAGAUCAUACCAAACAAUACAAAUUUCAAAGUUGAUGAUAUUGAACUUCAAUUAUGUAUGAACCCUUAGUAAGUAACAUCACCAACUAUUGGAUUUGGAUCCCUAGCAUUUGAGAAGCUCGAUGUUUGUGCAGUUACCACCACACAAUGUUCUACAUUCAUCUUCGUUUUUCUAUAUUUUUGUAUGAAAUCUAUAUCCACAUAUUUUUUAGCAACACUAUGAGGAUAUCGAGCAAGAUAUACAAGUUUAUCACUGAUCAUCUCAUUUGCUGCUCUUUCACACAUUAGACGGUCAAACAACUCAGAAAAUCACAACUUAUGUGUGUGUUCUACUUGACAAGGCCUCUUUCUAUUUUGGCUCCUCACCAAUGCCAAGUGCUCCGUAGCAUGACAACCACAUGGUCACAAGAGUUAGAAUUGUUGUGUUAUAUAAAUAUAGAAGCCAUGACGUAUUCAUACUAACUUGCUGAAGAUAUGACGUUACAUUGGAAAGAUUAAACAAUACAUAUAUGUCCUUGUAAAAGAGUUGCAUUGUCCAAAACAAAAAUAUUUUCUCCACCAAGUGCAUAACCUCUUAACAGAAACCCCAUCAUGUUUGUCUAGGCUCCUUCAACCUUAUUAUUAUUUCUCAUAGUUUUAUUGAAUUUAGUCUUCACAUUUAGAAGAAAAUUUAAGACAUUCAUCAGCAAUGUAGCCUUCAUCGAUACACCCCUCUACUUUGCUUCGGUUAUAAACAUAACCUUUUAGUUUGCAUAAAUAUCUGUUAGGCAUUAGAUUUAAUAUAAAUUAAUCAUUGCAAUCUUUUUAAUAUCAGUUAGCUAAAAGGUAAGUGUAGAAUGCCUUUCGAUUGGGUACAUUCAAUGUUACUGCACUGGUCCCCUUAAUCACACUUCUUCAACAAGAUGAAUAGUUAAAUGUAUCAUAAUAUCAAAAUAGGAUGGGGGAAGAACAGUUCUAUGUGACAUAGUAUGAGCACAAGACGUUCUUGCAGUUGGUUUAAUUCUGAUUCUCAUAAUGUCUUCGAACAUAUUUUCUAAGAAGCAAGCACAACUGAAUAAGAACAUCACUUACUUUACGAGUAAGUGUUCUUUGCACAGCUAAUGGAAGAAAUUUAUGUAAUAACAUGUGAAAGUCAUGACUCUUUAAGUCUGUAUUUUUCUUUUCUUUCAAGCUCACAUGACGUGAUAUUUUGGAUGUAAAGUUAUAAGAAGUUUUCAUAGUUUUAAGAACAUUGUAAAAAUUUCAUCUUUGCUCAUAUAAUAGAAUGCUGUGAAUGUAUUUUCUCAUCAUUGAUUUGCAGAUGCACUGCAUGUUUUAUAUUCAACUCUUAUAAGUCCAUGUGCGCAUUCAGAUGAACUUUUGUCUUCCCUUCUAUAUCUAAUAGUGUGCCCAUGAUGUUCUCACAUAAAUUCUUCUCAAUAUGUAGUAUGUCCAAAUUAUGAUGCAACAUAUUAUGCUCCCAAUAAGGCAAUGAAAAGAAUAUGCUUUUCAUUUUCUAAUAAUAAUGUAGUUCACCUGCUUCAUCAUUCAAUGGAUCCAACACAUUUUUUGUAGAUACUGGCAUAGGGGCAAUUCUAUCAUCAAUGUCACCAUCAAAUGAAGAUUUUAAUAACCUGAACUUAUGAUCAACGGGCAAGAAUCUUUGAUGCUCCAUGUAACACAUUUUUCUACUAUGCUUUAGAAAGAGGGAAUGAGCCUCCUUAUUGCAUAUAUGGCAUGCUAGUUUUUCCUUCAUACUCCAACCUGAUAAGUUUGCAAGUGUGGGAAAGUCAUUUAUUGUCCAUAGUAAAGCGACCCACAUUUAGAAGUUUUGUUUUGUUGUGGCAUCAUAUGUUUUAACACCUUUAUCCCACAACAAUUGUAGUUCCUCGAUGAGUGGCUGCAAUAGAACAUCUAUUUUAUUUCCAAGCACUUUUGGCCCAGAUAUCAAUAAGGUCAAUAUUCUUGAUGUAUGCUUCAUACAAACCCAAGGAGGUAAGUUAUAUGCAACUAACACCACUAGCCAUACACCAUAUAACAAACUUAACAUUCUAAAAGGAUUAAAUCCAUCAUUCAUGAGGCCCAAUCUGACAUUGCAACUAUCUGAUGUAAACGUAGGAUGCAACUUAUCAACGCUUUCCAAGUUUGUGCAUCGAAAGGAUGUCUUAUAGCCCCAUACUCAGUAUGACCGUCAUGGUGCUAUCUCAUCUCAGAUCAUAUUUUUGUAGACAUAAAUAAUAUUUUCAGCUUAGGGCACAUUUGCUAGCCAGGAAAUCCAGUGUAGCUGCAGAAAUAUUUUUCAAAUUUUCAAAUAUAUUUUUUCCCCGUCAAACUACAGAUCAAAAAAAUGUUAAGUCGGUUUCCAGAACUUUUAUUUCGAAAAUUUGUUUCCACUAUGCGGGGUGGAAAAAAAAAUUUUGAGAUGAAAAAAUGUCCAUUGCUUCCCGCGAGCAACGCAAGCUUGGUCACCCGCAAUUGUUGCGGGGCUGCCUGAAGCUUGGUCACCAACAAUGGCUGUGAAGCGAUGUAUUCUGCACACAUAGAAAGAGAGAGAAAGAGAGACAUUAGAGGGAAACCUUCAUACAUAAGCGGGUGACUCUCCGAGAUCGAGAUUCAGAAGAAACCCUUCUCCAAUGAGUCCUAGCACAGACGCCGACGCUACCCGACAAAAGUACAAAAGCAAAAAACGCGUAAAAUAAAGUGGGACGCGUGGCAUAGACGCCGACGCUACCCGACAAAAGCACUGUUUAUAUGCUAAUCUUUUUGCCGUUGAGGAGA